rnacentral:lncRNA from 1 species
GAGAAUCCAGCUGACAUGUUGACGAAAGUGGUGACUCGAGAGAAGCUAGAGCUAUGCAGAGAUAUAGCAGGAAUGUUUAUUUCGGAUAUGGCUGGAGGGGGAGAAUUGAAGAAGUCCAGCCAUCCCCACCAAACUCAACCUACCAUUCAACAACCAUCUACCUAACCUCCACCAACCACCCACCAUUGUUGAAAAAGGAAGCUUCCAUGUUCACACCACACCUACCCCAUAACUCAUGCUAUAAAUAGAGGUGGAUACCUCAGUUGGAAGGCAUCCUGAAAAUUAGUGUUCAUCACCAAGAAGAGUGAAAACAAGAGUGAUCCUAGAGAGUGAUCCUUGUUUGUGAGUUUGAGAGGGAUCGACAACUGUUGAGACUAGUGAAGAUCCAUACGAAGGAGAAUCCAGCUGACAUGUUGACGAAGGUGGUGACUCGAGAGAAGCUAGAGCUAUGCAGAGACAUAGCAGGAAUGUUUAUUUCGGAUAUGGCUGGAGGGGGAGAAUUGAAGAAGUCCAGCCAUCCCCACCAAACUCAACCUACCAUUCAACAACCAUCUACCUAACCUCCACCAACCACCCACCAUUGUUGAAAAAGGAAGCUUCCAUGUUCACACCACACCUACCCCAUAACUCAUGCUAUAAAUAGAGGUGGAUACCUCAGUUGGAAGGCAUCCUGAAAAUUAGUGUUCAUCACCAAGAAGAGUGAAAACAAGAGUGAUCCUUGUUUGUGAGUUUGAGAGUUUUUUUUUAUGAGUUUUGUAAAUACUCGUGUAAUCUAUUCUUGUGAGUAAUAGAGGUUGUUUUUAUCUCAAAUUCGUGUCUACCAACGCCCAAUUGAUUCUAGGUAACCCAACAGAACUGAAGUUUCAUAGCAACACCAAUAGCAGCAGAAGAAAGAAGAAGAAGAAGAUAAAGAAGAAGAAAAGGGGUUAAAGAUGUUUAAAAAAUAAAUAAAAAUUAAAUUUUUUAAAAAGAUGAAUAUAAGUUAAAUAUUAGCAACUAAAUAGGACGUUCCAUAUAAUUUUUAGCCGUUUCUAUCCUAUCUGUUUCAUAAUGCAAUCUCAAUCAUUGUGCUGAGAAAGUGGGUAGGGC